GAAAACAGCAAUUCAUCAUCGUGGAAGAAAAAGACCAUGAGGAGGUGAAGGACAUCAAAAACCAAGAUGAUGAUCAGGAUGAAAGGGCAAGUGUGAGGGCCCUCUGGAGCCAGGAAGGGGUAAUAGGUAGGUACUGGCCUUCACAGUAGAUAAGGUGGACAGAGUGCAGGAGGAAUUUUGUGUCUCCUCCUCCUAGAGAGUCAAAGGAGGUGGGAAAGUAAAUUGCAUGGAUUCCAUGGUUGGGGUAGAAUAAUGGUGAGACUCUAUGACCAAAGGGACAACAAAUCC
rnacentral:lncRNA from 1 species